AUUGAACGCUGGCGGCAGGCCUAACACAUGCAAGUCGAACGAGUGGCGGACGGGUGAGUCAUGUCUGGGAAACUGCCUGAUGGAGGGGGCUAACUACUGGAAACGGUAGCUAAUCCCGCAUACCAUCGGAUGUGCCCAGAUGGGAUUAGCUAGUAGGUGGGGUAACGGCUCCCCUAGGCGACGAUCCCUAGCUGGUCUGAGAGGAUGACUAGCCACACUGGAACUGAGACACGGUCCAGACUCCGACGGGAGGCAGCAGUGGGGAAUAUUGCACAAUGGGCGCAAGCCUGAUGCAGCCAUGCCGCGUGUAUGAAGAAGGCCUUCGGGUUGUAAAGUACUUUCGCCGGUAGUGGCAGAAGAAGCACCGGCUAACUACGUGCCAGCAGCCGCGGUAAUUC
rnacentral:rRNA from 1 species